AUGGCAUAUGGAAGUUCCCAGGCUAGGGGUUAAAUCAGAGCUAUAGCUGCCAGCCUACACCACAGCCACAGCAAGGCAGAUUUGAGCUGAUCUGUGACCUACACCACAGCUCACCGCAAUGCUGGAUCCUUAACCCACUGAGUGAGGCCAGGGAUCCAGAGAUCAAACCUGCAUCCUCAUGCAUCCUAGUCAGUUUCAUUAACCACUGAGCCAUGAAGGGAACUCCCUAAUUUUUGUAUUUAUAUUUAUAUACCUUAAAUUUACAGCAAUAUGUGUAGGAACAUAGUUGUAGAAAUAUAUAGAAAUAAAAAAAUAUGGAACUUAGAGGGACGCUUCUUUAACACAAGAUCCUAGAUGAUACAAGUCACUUUUUGGACAAAAAUCUCACCUGCUAUUUUUCUGGUUACCGAUUUUGAUGUGUUUGGUGGAGGGGAGAUUUCCCCCAAACCACUAAGCAGUUUGGAUACCAGCUGUUUUACAAUUCAACUCAAUCCUGACAUUAUCUACACAAGAGAUAGCAUCAGAUGUCACAGAUUAAGGGCUCAGUCCUGUAAGACUGUCUCCCCACUACUUCAGAAGACAGCAAGGCCGGGUUGUCACCUGUGCUCCUUAUUAACAGGCUAUUAACUGGAGGUUCCAAUGAUUCCCUCAAGAAAUUCAAUUAAUUUCCUAGAGGAGUUCCCAGAACCCACAGAAACCUUUUAACUACUAGAUUACUAAUUGAUUAUAAAAGGGUUUAACUCAGAAAUAGCCAGAUGCAAAAGAUGCAUAGGACAAGGGCACAGGGCUUCCUGCUCUGCCCAGAGUAUAAUGCGCCCUGAAUUUCCACAUGGUCACCAACUGUGAGGUUCUCCAAACUGUUUCUUUGGCUUUUCAUGGAGGCUUUAUUUGCAGGCAUGAUUAAUUAAAUCACUGGCCUCUUGGUAUUGAUUCAACCUCCUGCCCUUCUCCCCUCCCAGGAAAUCAGAGGGUGGACUAAAAGUUCCAACACUUUUUUAAAGUUGGUUCUCCUGGCAACCAGCCCCCAUCCUUAUUUAAGUGCAGUUCAAAAGUCACUUCAUUAAUGUUAAAAAAACAAAAUUCAUCUGAACAAAUUUGGAGAUCUAAUUAUUACCUAAUUCAUGAAUCAGGGAGCACUCCAUCUGGUAAACAGAAGGGUUCUCUGAAGGUUUCCAUUUUAUCUAUAAAAUGGAAAGAUUUUAUAGAUAAAAGGAGGGUGAGGAUGAAGGUACUAGAGAAAGAAAAAAAAGGAUUAGCUUAGGCCAGACCUUUUCUGAGGGGGCGUUUAUUGGUAUUGAUUAGGAAAUUUCACAUUGACAGUUUUAAAGGUCAAUUUCUAGGAGAGGUCAAAACUGCAGUCCAGUCUUGGUUUGCUGCACUGGCGGGGGGUGGGGGAAUGACUCUAUUUGGGGCUUAUUAAUUUUUAACAUCAACAGGAUAAAAGAUUUUAUCUUUUUGUUUAUUGUUCUUAGCCCUUAGGAAAUUCCAAGGGUUUCAGGAGCUCUGUGACAGAAAUGGGACGAAGACCAAAUAUGUAUUACUCUUUAUACAUAUCACACCUGAAAAUUAUUGAUUCCAUUAACUUAUUAGAUAUUGGAAAAUAAAUUGGAUCAAGCAAAUCCCUUCUUAUAAAAGCUGCAGCAGCUUCCUAUCUCCCCUCAGUAUAAAAUCUAAAAUUCUUACCAUUGCCUAUAAAGUUUUAUAUUAGGACUUGGCGAACUUUUUCUGUACAAGCCUACACAUUAAAUAUUUUCUGUAGUAGCUACCAAACUUCAGCACUGUAGCAUGAAAAUAGUCAUAAAUAAUGCAAAAAUAAGAGUAUGACUGCUUUCCAACAAAACUUUAUGGACACUAAUAUUUGAAUUUUAUGCAAUUUCUAAGCAUCAUACAAUAUUGUUUUACUUUUGAUAUUUUAUUUCAAACAUUUACAAUUAGAAUAGCCAUUUAUAAUGGUUCAUAAGACAUAUAUAAAUGGCUGGUGGGUCAGACAUGGACUACAACCCCUGCUCUAUACGAGCUACACUCUGCCUCUGAGAUUUCAUUCACUCUAUCCUGUUCCCUCUCCUCAUGGGCCUCUCUGUACUCUGAUAUCCCUGCUCAUCUGCUAAGCACAUUCUCUCCUCAGUACCUUUGCACAGGCUGUGUCCUUGACCUAGAACACUUACUCCUAAUCCUUGAAUAGCUUGUUUCCUUCACCUUUGAAGACUAAUUAUUCUCUUAUCACCCAAUCCAAAACAUCCUUUUUUUUUACUAUCAUUCUCUAUCCUCAUGUAGUGCUUAAUUUUGCAUUUAACACUUAUUACUCAUUGAACUAUAUCUCAUUUGUCUAUUUUCUGGCUCUUCUCACUAGAAUGUAAGCUUUAAUAGAGAAUAGAAUUGAUUUCCUUCACUGUUUCAUCCAGAAUAGUGCUUGGCACAAAAUAGGUACUCGAAUGAAUAAUUUUUCCAUGAUGUAUUAUUGUUAUUUAUAAUUGUGAAAAUUCUUCUUUCUUCUGGUUUUCAUCUCAGCUGUCAUUUUGAGGCUGUAGAUGACUGGGAGCUAGUCCUAAUCUGUGAAUUCUCAACAUUUAAGUGUUUCUUUAACCUCUAAUAGUUUUCUAUUCUGUAACAUGCUAAUAGUAGUCUUUAAUCUGGCUGCUUUAUAUUCGGUAUAAUUCUGAUCAUUAGUACAAUGUUAUAAUUCUGAAAUUAUGUAAUCCUUAUCUAAUGGUACUAUUUCUCCUGGCUUGUAGAGGGCACUAUGGUGCCCUUGCCAGCUCUCCUUACUGGGUCUAGUGUAUUAGCUGCACCUGGAUCUUUACGUCUGGUUCUGCUUCUAGAAUAAAUUUCCUACUUUGGUUAAACUGUCAACUCAUCCAAUUCCCCACUAAACAGGCCUGCCAAAAUCAAUCUUUAACAAUCUCAACACCAAAGCAUUAUGGAAAAAUUGGAUAUAUAUCUCACCUUUAGAGCACAAAGUAAGACACACUUCCAACUACUGAUAAGUCUUGGCUAGAAUACAGUACCAUCAGAUGUUGAUGCAAUUGUAAUAUGUAAUUUAUGACAUACCUUAUAUUAGCAAUAUGCAAACUGAAUGCCCAUUUAUUGAUUUUGCUAAAUGUAUAGCAUGCUUAAAGUCAAAUUUAGUAAUAUAGACAGAUGUGUAUAUAUGUGUGUGUAUGUAUACAUAUAUAAAAUUAUUUACAGACAUAUGUGUAUAUUCUCAGGUUAGUAUACAUACAUUUAUUUCCUUGUUCUAUUAGCUAAGAGAUCAUAGAUGGAAUGACACCCCAGUAACAACAAACACACUUGGUCCUCAGAUCUUAGUUUCUAAUACCAUUCUCUCAAAAGGAAUCUGGACUUCUUGAGGAAAUGGCUGAUUCCAGGACUGAGGACGAGAUGUGCCUGUAGUGUUUAGUAGUGCAAAAAGGAAAACAGCAACAACAACAGCAAUAAUGAGAUAUGUCAAAGCAGCAUAUGAGCCAAAUAAAAAUGCCAAAUAGACAAAGUAAUAAUCUAAACAACAACAUAUAUGAAGUAGUUUGGGAUUAUAAUCCAAACAAAUAUCUGUGAAUCCAUACUGAUAUAAAGAAUAAACAAGUAAAUGAGAGAGAACAGACCAAUCUCCCCUGCAGAAAAAUUUCAAAUAUUUUAUGUAGAUACUCUGUCCUUAAGGAGACAGAGUAUACAGUUCUCACCUUGAAGUGGAAGCUACUCAUGCUGACUUCUUUCCAAAGAGCACUGUAUGGAAAAAGAGUGUAAAAUAAGUUUAUAGUGAAGAAACCUGGCAAACACUCUCUCAGCCAAGUUUAACACCAGCAAUGGUGUCACCUGAUAGCUUGAUAUGUAUGCUAUGAUGAGGAUAACACUUAGUUUCUGUAGUCUUCCUCUCCAAAAGCCCAUUAACUCCAGUCUCAGGAGAAAAACAUCAAGUAAAUCCUGAUUAAUAUUAUACAAAAUAUCUGACUCCUCCAAGCUGUCAAAAUCAUCAAGUAGGAGGAACAUCUAAGAAACUUUCACAGCCAAGAGGAGCUUAAGAAGGCAAAAAUAAAUGCAAUAUGGUAUCCUGAUGGGAUCUUAGAAUAGAAAAAAGAUAUUAGGUAAAAUCUAAGGAAAUAUCAGGAAGUAUAGACUUAGUUAGUAAUAAUAAUGUAGAAAUAUUGAUUCAUUAAUUGUGACAUAUGGAUUUUACUAAAGUUAAGAUGAAUUAUAGAGGAAACAAGGUAUGGGUAAAUGUGAACUCUCUUAGCCACCUUUAUAUAAAUCUAAGAUUACAUUAACAAAAAUAUUUACUUGAACAUUUUUUAAAGGGGAAACAAGGUAUGGGUAAAUGUGAAUUCUCUUAGCCACCUUUAUAUAAAUCUAAGAUUAUAUUAACAAAAAAGUUUAAACAUUUUUAAAAUUAAAUUGAUAAUUGAACUUUACACUGUUCAAGGAUUUUUAAAUUCAAGAAAAUACCUAAUUCACAACAGAAUAUCUUGAAUACCAUUCUGAUUAUUACUGGAGGAAACCUACUUUGAAGUUUUUAAUAGAAUCUUAAUGUUAUAGUAAAUGCCCAAAGAAUUUAAAGUUAAAAUAUUUUUGGUAUUUAUACCAAUUUUUUUUCCAUCAGAGUCAAAUUAUUAAUCAUUUCAACAAUACUUUGACAUUAUUUUUCAUAUUAUCUCAACAUUUUGAGUCUCAAAAUACUUAUUACGAUGCCACAAAUUCACAAUAUUCUAUGACUAUAAUGCUUCUCAUUGAUUUUUUUUUUAACAUAUCUUACCUACAUGUUUCUUAGGAAUAGAACUUGGAGGGACACAAGGUAACAUUUCUCCAGCAUUUAUGUUCCAUCAUGCAUUUACCACUCUAGGGCCUCAUAUUUAUUCUCUUGUUCGUUCCUCACACACGCUAAGAGAUCCAUAGUUGGACACAUUCAGAGGGGGGGGAAAUAGACCUGACGGGUGGGACUAUAAGGCAGUCUCACUGAAAAAAAGUUACUGAGUGAA
rnacentral:lncRNA from 1 species